UUAUACGACCAUAGGGUGUGGAAAACAGGGCUUCCCGUCCGCUCAGCCGUACUUAAGCUACACGCACGCCGGUGAGUUAGUAGUUGGGUGGGUGACCACCAGCGAAUCCUCACUGUUGUAUGUU
rnacentral:rRNA from 1 species